rnacentral:rRNA from 1 species
AUUGAACGCUGGCGGCAGGCCUAACACAUGCAAGUCGAACGGAGUGGCGAACGGGUGAGUAACACGUGGGUGACCUGCUCUGCACUUCGGGAUAAGCCUGGGAAACUGGGGCUAAUACCGGAGAGUGUGGGAUGGGCCCGCGGCCAAUCAGCUUGUUGGUGGGGUAAGGGCCUACCAAGGCGGCGACGGGUAGCCGGCCUGGGAGGGUGGACGGCCACAUUAGGACUGAGGCAGGGACCAGACUGCUACGGGGGGCAACGGGGGGGAAUAUUGCACAAUGGGCGGGAGCCUGAUGCAGCGACGCCGCGAGGGGGAAGACGGCCUUCGGGUUGUAAACUCCUUUCACCAUAGACGCGGUAGAUGGAGAAGAAGCACCGGCUAACUACGUGCCAGCAGCCGCGGUAAUUC